rnacentral:rRNA from 1 species
AACGAACGCCGGCGGCAGGCUUAACACAUGCAAGUCGAGCGCCCCGCAAGGGGAGCGGCAGACGGGUGAGUAACGCGUGGGAACGUACCCUUUGCUACGGAAUAGCUCCGGGAAACUGGAAUUAAUACCGUAUGUGCCCUACGGGGGAAAGAUUUAUCGGCAAAGGAUCGGCCCGCGUUGGAUUAGCUAGUUGGUGGGGUAAUGGCCUACCAAGGCGACGAUCCAUAGCUGGUCUGAGAGGAUGAUCAGCCACAUUGGACUGAGACACGGCCCAAACUCCUACGGGAGGCAGCAGUGGGGAAUAUUGGACAAUGGGCGCAAGCCUUAUCCAGCCAUGCCGCGUGAGUGAUGAAGGCCUUAGGGUUGUAAAGCUCUUUCACCGGAGAAGAUAAUGACGGUAUCCGGAGAAGAAGCCCCGGCUAACUUCGUGCCAGCCGCCGCGGUAAAAC